rnacentral:rRNA from 1 species
GACGAACGCUGGCGGCGUGCUUAACACAUGCAAGUCGAACGGUAAGGCUCCAGCUUGCUGGGGUACACGAGUGGCGAACGGGUGAGUAACACGUGGGUGACCUGCCCUGCACUUCGGGAUAAGCCUGGGAAACUGGGUCUAAUACCGGAUAGGACCAUGGUGUGGAUACUGUGGUGGAAAGUUUUUUCGGUGUGGGAUGGGCCCGCGGCCUAUCAGCUUGUUGGUGGGGUAAUGGCCUACCAAGACGGCGACGGGUAGCCGGCCUGAGAGGGUGGACGGCCACAUUGGGACUGAGACACGGCCCAGACUCCUACGGGAGGCAGCAGUGGGGAAUAUUGCACAAUGGGCGGAAGCCUGAUGCAGCGACGCCGCGUGGGGGAUGACGGCCUUCGGGUUGUAAACUCCUUUCACCAUCGACGAAGGGUUUCUGACGGUAGAUGGAGAAGAAGCACCGGCUAACUACGUG